UGUUCUGUACAUCACUCGUUGUGUCACAAUAACUGAUUAUCUGUAAAAUACUUGAAGUGCAGAAUUUAAUGUAUUUGGAAUGUUGAGUUUAAUAUAGUUUAUUUGGGUCAAUCCAACGCUUGUGUGACCAAUGCAAAAAAGUACUUUGGCAGCGACUGUCCUUGACAACAAAACACAACUGUAGAUAAAGUUAAGUGACCCCAGUGGUGAACGUGAUUUCACAAAGUACAAAAUGUUCCUGGAUCAAAAUCUAAUCUACUGAUCAGAAUAAAGGGAUAACUUUUCAGAAAAUAUGUCAAUUUUAGGCUUACGUUCAGGCUUGCUUCUGUACCCUUGAUAAUUAGCUAUCAUUUCCCUCUGAUUUUAAGAAUAAAUUAUGGCCAGGGUUAGGUUUAGGGGUAGGGAUUGGGCUUGGGCUAAGUCUAUUUAUUUUUAAAGUAAUGCUGAUGUUGAUAAACAUGUCUUACUUGGCAAAAUCACGGCGCCCGUUAACCAGGGGUGUAUUCCAGAAAGCUGGGUUAACUUACCAUCUGAUUAACCCUGAACUCUGGGUUGAUUAACCCAAAACCUGGUUACUCAGGGUAUGUCGGUUCCAAAACAUGUAUGUCGAGUUAGUUUAACCAAGCUACUGCUAAUAACCUCGAGUUAAUGCGCGUGCACGGCGACCAUAUUAAGCCAUUUUUAAUGGAAUGCCGAAUUCAAGAGUCACCAUGGAAAAGUCACAUGCCGCGUACUUCUCCGAAGCAUAGUUCGAAGUUUUAAUGUUGGCUUAUGAGGAGUUCAAGCCAAUUAUAAUGAAAAAAAGCAAUACAGCUGCAUAUGCGAGGGAAAGACAAUUGGCUUUGCAAAAAAUAACUAACCGAGUAAAUGCGUGUUUUUUUUUUUUAUAAAUAUGCUUGCCUUUCUUUUGUUAAUUUGCAAAGUUGAACAAUUGUCUUUUUGAGCAUGUGGCAUGACUUGACAGGCAUUUACUUUUCUCUACAUCAGUUGCUUAAGAAUACAGUGCAAUGUAUAUUGACAAGAAAUAUUUAAGCCUCUUGUUUUAUAAGGUGUAUUCCUUUUGGAGCCAAAAUAAAUUCAAAAUGAAACACAAAACAUUCUUCAAAAAGGUAAUAUUUUAUUUUAACUGUUUUAAGAUCAAUGUCUUGAAUAACUUUUACAGUAUUCUUCCUAUAUAGCUAAUAGAAAGAAGGCUGGGGCCUGUCUAACUGGCGGGGGUCCACCUCCACCUCCUCUCACCCCAUCUGAGGAGUUGGCUCUGUCACUUAAUAAAGGUCGCCCUGUGGUUGAUGGUAUUCCAGAGGGCACUUCGUCAGACUUUGCUUCCUCCCAUGACAACUCAAGUGACUUGGUACAAUGAUGAUGAUGAAUAGACCAUAUCUGCUGUGACUGACUUAAAAAGUGCUGGGAGACCCACAGAGAAUCUAGCUGGGGAUGUACAUGCAGAUGAGGGUCCAUCUACCUCGACAUGUAGUCUUAGCAUUUUGUCUGCAAAGGAGCUGUAUAAUGUCAAUCUAUUAAGGCAAAUAAUAAAAAAAAACUGAUAUGGACCUUAUACAGCUUCAGCUAGAGGAGAAAAGGCUGGCCAUUUUAAAAGACAAAACUUGAAAUCGAACUACUGGAGCAUCACCUUAAGGUGAAAAUCAUAUGUGAACAUAAUGUAAAAUGUAAAGCAAUAAAUACAAAUCUGUCAUGUCUCUUUUAUUUCAGGAUAUUAAGAAAUAGCACAUUCAAUAAAGUGAUUUUGACAAAUUAUGUCUCUAAGCAUUCUGCCAUCUCUAUGGUCUGCUAGAUCCAAUGGGUGUUGUUCUAGGUCCUCUUCAUCAGGACAGGGGGGGUGCCUCUCUCCUCUUAUUGUGGCAAUGUUGUGAAGUACCACACAAGCAACUGAUGUCACAUGCCCUAUUUGGAGUGACCCUGAGCCCACGCAGACACUGAAACCUCGCCUUCAGAAUGCCUAUCGUCAUCUCCACCUUGGCCCGUGUUCUGAAGCAUGCCUGUGGUCUGGGUAGGGUAGGGUGUCAUCAUAUAGGGGAGGCAAGGGUAUCCUCUGUCCCCCAGCAAGUAACUAUAGAAGUGUCCUGUAAUGUUUGAGGUGUUUUGUUAAUGUAAUAAAGACUACAAGGGUUUGUCUAACAAAACAUACCCUGUUGAAAUUUGUUGCACAGAGAUGACUCCCUAAAUAUUCUGGCAUCAUCUACAGACCCAGGCCAUUUUGCCUCCUCAUUAGUGAUGAGGUGGGUUGUAUCACAUAUUACCUGUGGAGAGCAAGAAGUUUAUUUGUAACACCAAUAUUAAGGAGCCAAAAUAUACCUAUUACCUGCACAUUAAUGCUAUGCACAGACUUCCUAUUAAUUGAUAGAUGGAGCUUUAAUAGGAAUGUGGGUGCCAUCAAUACACCCAAUCACGUAUGGGAACCCUGAAAUUAAGAUUAAUUACAAGUUUGAAAAGUCUGUUUAGCCUUUAUGUGUGUGCAGUCAAAAUAAACGUGUUAAGAAAUGUAAUUUAAUUGAAGUAGAAUUUCUGAGAGCAAACCUGCCACCCUGUGGAAUUCUUCUUUAAUAAAGCACACAAAAGUGUGUAGAAACCGUUUCAGUGCCAUACAUACUGUACGAAUGGCUCUACACACUGUUGCCUUCCCCACAUGCUCUGCAUCGCCCACAA